rfam:Candidatus Magnetomorum sp. HK-1 HK1c1358, whole genome shotgun sequence.
UUGAGCCGUUAUGCUGCGAAAGUCGCAUGUUCGGUUCUUAGGGGGGAAAGGGGCUGUGAAGCCCCUGACCUACCCGAU